GGCUCAGAUUGAACGCUGGCGGCAGGCCUAACACAUGCAAGUCGAACGGUAACAGGAAGCAGCUUGCUGCUUUGCUGACGAGUGGCGGACGGGUGAGUAAUGUCUGGGAAACUGCCUGAUGGAGGGGGAUAACUACUGGAAACGGUGGCUAAUACCGCAUAACGUCGCAAGACCAAAGAGGGGGACCUUCGGGCCUCUUGCCAUCAGAUGUGCCCAGAUGGGAUUAGCUUGUUGGUGAGGUAACGGCUCACCAAGGCGACGAUCCCUAGCUGGUCUGAGAGGAUGACCAGCCACACUGGAACUGAGACACGGUCCAGACUCCUACGGGAGGCAGCAGUGGGGAAUAUUGCACAAUGGGCGCAAGCCUGAUGCAGCCAUGCCGCGUGUAUGAAGAAGGCCUUCGGGUUGUAAAGUACUUUCAGCGGGGAGGAAGGUGUUGCGGUUAAUAACCGCAGCAAUUGACGUUACCCGCAGAAGAAGCACCGGCUAACUCCGUGCCAGCAGCCGCGGUAAUACGGAGGGUGCAAGCGUUAAUCGGAAUUACUGGGCGUAAAGCGCACGCAGGCGGUCUGUCAAGUCGGAUGUGAAAUCCCCGGGCUCAACCUGGGAACUGCAUUCGAAACUGGCAGGCUUGAGUCUUGUAGAGGGGGGUAGAAUUCCAGGUGUAGCGGUGAAAUGCGUAGAGAUCUGGAGGAAUACCGGUGGCGAAGGCGGCCCCCUGGACAAAGACUGACGCUCAGGUGCGAAAGCGUGGGGAGCAAACAGGAUUAGAUACCCUGGUAGUCCACGCCGUAAACGAUGUCUACUUGGAGGUUGUGCCCUUGAGGCGUGGCUUCCGGAGCUAACGCGUUAAGUAGACCGCCUGGGGAGUACGGCCGCAAGGUUAAAACUCAAAUGAAUUGACGGGGGCCCGCACAAGCGGUGGAGCAUGUGGUUUAAUUCGAUGCAACGCGAAGAACCUUACCUGGUCUUGACAUCCACAGAAGAAUCCAGAGAUGGAUUUGUGCCUUCGGGAACUGUGAGACAGGUGCUGCAUGGCUGUCGUCAGCUCGUGUUGUGAAAUGUUGGGUUAAGUCCCGCAACGAGCGCAACCCUUAUCCUUUGUUGCCAGCGAUUAGGUCGGGAACUCAAAGGAGACUGCCAGUGAUAAACUGGAGGAAGGUGGGGAUGACGUCAAGUCAUCAUGGCCCUUACGACCAGGGCUACACACGUGCUACAAUGGCGCAUACAAAGAGAAGCGACCUCGCGAGAGCAAGCGGACCUCAUAAAGUGCGUCGUAGUCCGGAUUGGAGUCUGCAACUCGACUCCAUGAAGUCGGAAUCGCUAGUAAUCGUGGAUCAGAAUGCCACGGUGAAUACGUUCCCGGGCCUUGUACACACCGCCCGUCACACCAUGGGAGUGGGUUGCAAAAGAAGUAGGUAGCUUAACCUUCGGGAGGGCGCUUACCACUUUGUGAUUCAUGACUGGGGAGAAGUCGUAACAAGGU
rnacentral:rRNA from 1 species